rfam:Ornithorhynchus anatinus chromosome 5, whole genome shotgun sequence.
ACCCUCUCAAGGUUGUACCUGGAGAGUUUCUAGGGCUCUACCAGUGUCGGCUAUGGGAAGGAGAGUCAAGCAGAGUCUUACCCAUUCCAUUCUUAGCUUAGGCAGUGGUUAGUGAGUGGAAGGCAAUCUGUUACAAGU